UGCCUUUGUGGCGUAGGGGUGUAGAGGAAGGACUGGCAGCCAAAAGGUUGAUGAUUCGAUCCUUAUCGGUGCUUUAGGGAAUUUUAAAGUUCAAAGAGCCAAAGAACAAGGAGACAUGCACCCACAUCUGAAGUCCACAUGUGUGUCUUUGUGGUGCAGGAGUGUAGAGGACGUACUGGCAGCCGAGAGGUUGAAGGUUCGAACCCCGUCUCAGGUUUAGUGAAUUUUGAAGAGUGUUUUUAAGAAAUAGGAGAAGUGAAAAGCAUUUGGAAACCUGCAUGUUGUGUUUCUCUGUGGUGCAGGGGUGUAGAGGAUGUACUGGCAGUCUAGAGGUUGCAGGUUUGAUCCUUAUCAGUGACUCAGUGAGUAUUAAAGUCAAAGACACUCUUAAUUGGAUAAUUGAUGUUUUUUUGAGGUGUGGUUGUGAAGUCAGAAUCCUCAGAAUAUUCUUUUAAUGCUUUUCUAAGUAUUUCUAAACAGACAUGUAAUUCACUGCAUUGGCCACAUGGGAGCGCCACACACUCAGGACGUGACGUUCAGGUGACGUUCAGGUGCUUGGGACGUGUUCAGGUGACGUGCCUCACAGUAGCUUCCGGUUCCGGUUCCUCCACGCUGCUGCUGCUGACUGACUGACGCACGGACACGCUUCCUCCGGACCACAACGGGAGUCUGCAGAACGACGAACAGACGGAGAAAACACACAGAAGAAGGAGAACAUGCUGGAAACUAAAGACCCGGACCCGGAGCGUGCAAGGGGGACACGAGACGAAGCUGCAGACCUGAAGAACAGCUGAUGGGAGGAGCACGUGUCUGUGAUGAAGUGGCUUCCUGGUGGCAAAAUAAAGUGCUGCAACUACCAGGAGAGUGUCCACCUGAACUAAAACUAAACUGAGCUUUAAAGGGACAUUUCACUGAGGGGGACCGGCUGACCCGAGGUGCUCGGUGACCCGGAGGUUGGGGUGUCCAGAAAGGGCGGCGGCCUCAGGGCCUCUUGGCUGGGCUCUUCUUUCCCUCUUCUCCUCCUCCUCCUUCCCUCUGCUCCGUGAGCAUUACGUCUCAGGACGGGAGACACGGGCGUCACAUUGAAAUCAUUUGGCCAUGCAGCAGCUGCAGCAGAGGUUCAAGAAGGCUGUGGGUCUUGAUUCCACCAUGGACGAACAACAGAGGAGACUCAGGCUGAAGGAGUUGCUGACGGGAGGACCGGGUGUGUUGAAUGAAGGACUGAACGUAGGUAGAAAGAAGAAGAGUUUCCAUGGUGACAAAGGACAAGCAAAGUGGAGAGGAAAAUGGCCGACACCUCACGUGACUGCAACCUUCCAAUCCCAACAUUGUUCCUUUAAACAUGACUCAAGACAAUAAACAUUCAAUGUGACAAUGAUGACUCAUGGUUUCCUUAGUCAGGAAAUAAGACCAUAUUUGGUGAAUCUGUGAAUAACUUCCUUACCAACACAUGUCUCCAUGUUUGUAGUUCUCUUUAAGGUCCAGAGACAACAUGCAGGAUUGAGGAGGUUUUGGAAACCUGCACAGAGGUCUGUCUCUGUGGCGCAGGAGCAAAACACCGGACUUGAUGUCUGGAGGUCAUGGGUUCGAUCCUCUGUUGGUCCAAAUCAUUCCUCCUGUUCAGUCCUUGUUGAAGAGUUUUUAGAAGUUGUCAUCUAAAGGAGAAAUAGAAAUGUUAAACACACAUCGUCUACAGGUGUGUCUCUGUGGCGCAGUGGAUUAGAGGACACAGUUGAAGUCUGGAGGUCGUGGGUUCGAUCCUCUGAUGGUCCAAAUCUUCCCCCUGUUCAGUCCUUGUUGAAGAGUUUUUAAAGGCCAGUGUGUAAGGGGGAAAUAGAAAUGUUAAAGAAGCAUCAUGUAUUGGUGUGUCUCUGUGGCGCAGUGGAUAGAGGACAGAGUCAGAGUCUGGAGGUUGAGGGUUCGGUCCUCAUUGAGGGGCUCACUUAGUUUUGAGGAGUGUUUUCAGAAAAUAGAGCCUUAAAGCAUUUGGAAGCAUGUAUGCUGUGUGUCUUUGUGGUGUAGUGGUGUAGAGGAUGGACUUGCAGUUCAGAGGUUGAAGGUUCGAUCCUUAUUUCAGGCUUGUGACUUUUAAAGUCAGAGAGCAGCAGAAUGAAGAUAGAUCCACCCAGAGCUGAGCUCUGCACGUGUGCCUUUGUGGCGUAGGGGUGUAGAGGAAGGACUGGCAGCCGAAAGGUUGAUGGUUCGAUCCUUAUCGGUGCUUCAGUGAAUUUUAAAGUUCAAAGAGCCAAAGAACAAGGAGACAUGCACCCACAUCUGAAGUCCACAUGUGUGUCUUUGUGGCGCAGGAGUGUAGAGGACGUACUGGCAGCCGAGAGGUUGAAGGUUCGAACCCCGUCUCAGGUUUAGUGAAUUUUGAAGAGUGUUUUUAAGAAAUAGGAGAAGUGAAAAGCAUUUGGAAACCUGCAUGUUGUGUUUCUCUGUGGUGCAGGGGUGUAGAGGAUGUACUGGCAGUCUAGAGGUUGCAGGUUUGAUCCUUAUCAGUGACUCAGUGAGUAUUAAAGUCAAAGACACUCUUAAUUGGAUAAUUGAUGUUUUUUUGAGGUGUGGUUGUGAAGUCAGAAUCCUCAGAAUAUUCUUUUAAUGCUUUUCUAAGUAUUUCUAAACAGACAUGUAAUUCACUGCAUUGGCCACAUGGGAGCGCCACACACUCAGGACGUGACGUUCAGGUGACGUUCAGGUGCUUGGGACGUGUUCAGGUGACGUGCCUCACAGUAGCUUCCGGUUCCGGUUCCUCCACGCUGCUGCUGACUGACUGACGCACGGACACGCUUCCUCCGGACCACAACGGGAGUCUGCAGAACGACGAACAAACGGAGAAAACACACAGAAGAAGGAGAACAUGCUGGAAACUAAAGACCCGGACCCGGAGCGUGCAAGGGGGACACGAGACGAAGCUGCAGACCUGAAGAACAGCUGAUGGGAGGAGCACGUGUCUGUGAUGAAGUGGCUUCCUGGUGGCAAAAUAAAGUGCUGCAACUACCAGGAGAGUGUCCACCUGAACUAAAACUAAACUGAGGUGAGUUUAAAGUUUUCAAGUCUAAUUACUCUGUUCAUACAGCUGCUGUAAUGUUGUUGUUGUUGCUGACAGCUCACCACUAGAGGGCGCUGUUUCCCCUCAAAGUCAUUGGAUGAAUGUAUGUGUUGUUGAUUCAGCUCCUGUAAUUCAACCUGUGUGUUUUAAUUGUUUCACCAUUCGCUUUAAAGGGACAUUUCACUGAGGGGGACCGGCUGACCCGAGGUGCUCUAUGACCCGGAGGUUGGGGUGUCCAGAAAGGGCGGCGGCCUCGGGGCCUCUUGGCUGGGCUCUUCUUUCCCUCUUCUCCUCCUCCUUCCCUGUGCUCCGUGAGCAUUACGUCUCAGGACGGGAGACACGGGCGUCACAUUGAAAUCAUUUGCAGCUGCAGCAGAGGUUCAAGAAGGCUGUGGGUCUUGAUUCCACCAUGGAUGAACAACAGAGGAGACUCAGGCUGAAGGAGUUGCUGACGGGAGGACCGGUUCUCUUUAAGGUCCAGAGACAACAUGCAGGAGUGAGGAGGUUUUGGAAACCUGCAUGGCAGUCUGUCUCUGUGGCGCAGGAGCAAAAGACCCGACUCGAAGUCUGGAGGUUGUGUGUUCGAACCCCUGAUGGUCCAAAUCAUUCCUCCUGUUCAGUGCUUGUUGAAGAGUUUUUAUAAGUUGUCAUCUAAAGGAGAAAUAGAAAUGUUAAACACACAUAAUCUACAGGUGUGUCCCUGUGGCGCAGUGGAUUAGAGGACACAGUUGAAGUCUGGAGGUCGUGGGUUCGAUCCUCUGAUGGUCCAAAUCUUCCCCCUGUUCAGUCCUUGUUGAAGAGUUUUUAAAGGCCAGUGUGUGAAGGGGAAGUAGAAAUGUUAAGGAAGCAUCAUGUAUUGGUGUGUCUCUGUGGCGCAGUGGAUAGAGGACAGAGUCAGAGUCUGGAGGUUGAGGGUUUGGUCCUCAUUGGGGGGGUUACUUAGUUUUGAGGAGUGUUUUCCAAAAAGAGAACCUUAAAGCAUUUGGAAACAUGUAUGCUGUGUGUCUUUGUGGUGUAGUGGUGUAGAGGAUGGACUUGCAGUUCAGAGGUUGAAGGUUCGAUCCUUAUUUCGGUCUUGUGACUUUUAAAGUCAGAGAGCAGCAGAAUGAAGAUAGAUCCACCCAGAGCUGAGCUCUGCACGUGUGCCUUUGUGGCGUAGGGGUGUAGAGGAAGGACUGGCAGCCAAAAGGUUGAUGGUUCGAUCCUUAUCGGUGCUUUAGGGAAUUUUAAAGUUCAAAGAGCCAAAGAACAAGGAGACAUGCGCCCACAUCUGAAGUCCACAUGUGUGUCUUUGUGGCGUAGGGGUUUAGAGGACAGACUGGCAGUCUAGAGGUUGCAGGUUUGAUCCUUAUCAGUGACUCAGUGAGUAUUAAAGUCAAAGACACUCUUAAUUGGAUAAUUGAUGUUUUUUUGAGGUGUGGUUGUGAAGUCAGAAUCCUCAGAAUAUUCUUUUAAUGCUUUUCUAAGUAUUUCUAAACAGACAUGUAAUUCACUGCAUUGGCCACAUGGGAGCGCCACACACUCAGGACGUGACGUUCAGGUGACGUUCAGGUGCUUGGGACGUGUUCAGGUGACGUGCCUCACAGUAGCUUCCGGUUCCGGUUCCUCCACGCUGCUGCUGCUGACUGACUGACGCACGGACACGCUUCCUCCGGACCACAAAGGGACUCUGCAGAACGACGAACAGACGGAGAAAACACACAGAAGAAGGAGAACAUGCUGGAAACUAAAGACCCGGACCCGGAGCGUGUAAGGGGGACACGAGACGAAGCUGCAGACCUGAAGAACAGCUGAUGGGAGGAGCACGUGUCUGUGAUGAAGUGGCUUCCUGGUGGCAAAAUAAAGUGCUGCAACUACCAGGAGAGUGUCCACCUGAACUAAAACUAAACUGAGCUUUAAAGGGACAUUUCACUGAGGGGGACCGGCUGACCCGAGGUGCUCGGUGACCCGGAGGUUGGGGUGUCCAGAAAGGGCGGCGGCCUCGGGGCCUCUUGGCUGGGCUCUUCUUUCCCUCUUCUCCUCCUCCUUCCCUCUGCUCCGUGAGCAUUAUGUCUCAGGACGGGAGACACGGGCGUCACAUUGAAAUCAUUUGCAGCUGCAGCAGAGGUUCAAGAAGGCUGUGGGUCUUGAUUCCACCAUGGAGGAACCGGGAGGACCGGGUGUGUUGAAUGAAGGACUGAACGUAGGUAGAAAGAAGAAGAGUUUCCAUGGUGACAAAGGACAAGCAAAGUGGAGAGGAAAAUGGACGACACCUCACGUGACUGCAACCUUCCAAUCCCAACAUUGUUCCUUUAAACAUGACUCAAGACAAUAAACAUUCAAUGUGACAA